rnacentral:rRNA from 1 species
GUUGAACGCUGGCGGCAGGCCUAAUACAUGCAAGUCGAGCGGUAUAAGUGGGUUUGCUCCUGGAGUCCGCGGCAGACGGGCGUGUCAUGCCUAGGAACCUGCUUGAUCGUGGGGGAUAACGUCAGGAAACGGGCGCUAAUACCGCUUACAUUCUGUGGUAGCAACAGAGUUCUCUUCGGACCUCACGCGAUCAGGUUAGGCUAGGUCGGAUUAGCUAGUUUGUUGGGUAAAGGCCUCCCCAGGCGACGAACCGUAACUGGUCUGAGAGGAUGGUCAGUCACACUAGAACUGAGACGAGGUCCAGACUCCUACGGGAGGCAGCGGUGCGGAAUAUUGGACUGUGGGAGGAAGCCUGGUCCAGCCCAGCCGCGUGUGUGAAGAAGGUCUUCGCAUUGUAGAGCUAAUCUGGUUGGGAGCAGGGACAGUACGUUAAUAGCGUGCUGUGCUGACGUUACCAAAAGAAUAAGCACCGGCUAACUUCGUG